rnacentral:rRNA from 1 species
AUUGAACGCUGGCGGCAUGCCUUACACAUGCAAGUCGAACGGCAGCACGGGUGCUUGCACCUGGUGGCGAUUGGCGAACGGGUGAGUAAUACAUCGGAACAUGUCCUGUAGUGGGGGAUAGCCCGUCGAAAGCCGGAUUGAUACCGCAUACGAUCUUCGUAUGACAGCGGGGGACCUUCGGGCCUCGCGCUAUAGGGUUGGCUGUUGGCUGAUUAGCUAGUUGGUGGGGUAAAGGCCUACCAAGGCGACGAUCAGUAGCUGGUCUGAGAGGACGACCAGCCACACUGGAACUGAGACACGGCCCAGACUCCUACGGGAGGCAGCAGUGGGGAAUUUUGGACAAUGGGCGAAAGCCUGAUCCAGCAAUGCCGCGUGUGUGAAGAAGGCCUUCGGGUUGUAAAGCACUGUUGUCCGGAAAGAAAAACUUGGCACUAAUACGGUCGGGGGAUGACGGUACCGGAAGAAUAAGCACCGGCUAACUACGUG